rnacentral:rRNA from 1 species
UACAGAGGGUGCGAGCGUUGUUCGGAAUUAUUGGGCGUAAAGGGCGCGUAGGCGGUGCGGUAAGUCACCUGUGAAAUCUCCUGGCUCAACUGGGAGCUUGCAGGCGAAACUGCCGUGCUGGAGUGUGGGAGAGGUGAGUGGAAUUCCCGGUGUAGCGGUGAAAUGCGCAGAUAUCAGGAAGAACACCUAUGGCGAAGGCAGCUCUCUGGGACGGUACUGACGCUGAGACGCGAAAGCGUGGGGAGCGAACAGG